UGCUCUGGUAUCUUCAAUACCAUUGAGUUAUUAAAUUGUAAUUAAAUUGAAUGCGUUUUAAUUCCCUUUUAUUAUUGUUUGAUUUGAGUUACAAUGCUAUGACGUUAAAUUUUAUUUACACUUAAAUGUAUUAUGAAUAUUGUUGGGCCAAGUGUGAGGUUGAGCGCUCUAUAACCGGUUUAAACCCCCAAUGCUUUGCAUUGACCGUUCCAAGGCGGUGACCCCAGCUUUAUUCAUAUUUUGUGUUUAUGUUGGUUUGUAUUGUGCUGUAUUGUGCUGUUUUGUACUGUUUGGGCAAUCGGUCACUUGCCUUAAAUAAAGGACUAACUAAUUGUU